rnacentral:lncRNA from 1 species
AAAAAAAAAAAAACCUUAAAACUCUAUCCCCCUCUCUGGUUUUCUCUGGGCACUGCCCAGUAUCCGGCGAAUGGAGCCGCCGUGGCGCCAUCAUGUAAGGUGGUCGGAGGCCCCCAGGUUAGUUUCCGUCCUUUUUUUCUCUCUUUUUUUUAUAUUAUAUAUGUAUAGUUUUUUAAAUAAAAGGAAAAUAAAAUUUUUUGAAUAGGAGCAGUUUCGAAACUGGAAAAAUAAAGAAAAAAAUGACCUUCUCACGUUUCCCUUUGGUUUUUUUUUCUUCGAUCUGCUUUGCUGCUUGUUGUUCUUAUGCUUGAAUCUGUUUUUGUAUUUUACAAAAAAAAAAAAACCCCCCCGAAGAAAAAGAUUACAAUCGGUUCAAAAUGGCUUUAUAGCCAAUUUUUACACAUUUUUUAGUCUAUUUUGCAUGCUGUCACUUCUUGCUUUUAAUCUUUGUAGGUGCAAAUGGGCGGUGCAAGUGGAGGGCGGUGCUGCAGUGGCGGUGGCAGGGCUGUCAGGGGCUAGGUGCGGCGGCAGCAGGCUUGGGUUUCAGUUUUUUGCUGACACUGAGUUUAGUUUUGGGCCAAUCGGGCCGCCUAUGGUUUUAGAGUUUUGGUUUGGGCCAUUUGGGCAUGUUGUAAAUGGACUGGACUUUACUAAUUGUUUUGUUUUAUUUUAUUUUUGGGUUGUUUGUUUAGGGCCCGGGCAAUUUGGGCUGAUUACACGAUUUUUCUAUCAAUUCAUUAAAAUUUUAAAUUUUGCACUAUCA